rnacentral:tRNA from 1 species
UCUGGCUUAACAUAUAUUAAUGUAAAAGAUUGUAAAUCUUUUUAAAGCUUUAGGCUA